rnacentral:rRNA from 1 species
GACGAACGCUGGCGGCGUGCUUAACACAUGCAAGUCGAACGGAAAGGCCCUGCUUGCAGGGUACUCGAGUGGCGAACGGGUGAGUAACACGUGGGUGAUCUGCCCUGCACUUCGGGAUAAGCCUGGGAAACGGGGUCUAAAACCGGAUAGGGGCCAUUUUUAGCGUGAGGGUUGGAAAGUUUUUUCGGUGUAGGAUGAGCUCGCGGCCUAUCAGCUUGUUGGUGGGGUAAUGGCCUACCAAGGCGGCGACGGGUAGCCGGCCUGAGAGGGUGGACGGCCACAUUGGGACUGAGAUACGGCCCAGACUCCUACGGGAGGCAGCAGUGGGGAAUAUUGCACAAUGGGCGCAAGCCUGAUGCAGCGACGCCGCGUGGGGGAUGACGGCCUUCGGGUUGUAAACUCCUUUCGCUAGGGACGAAGCUUUUUGUGACGGUACCUAGAUAAGAAGCCCCGGCUAACUACGU